ACGAGACCUUUGCAGCUAAUACAUGUAUUUGUAUAUAACGUGUAUACUUAAUAAAACGUAAGUCGACAAGUUUGUGCAAAAGGUAUUGCAAAAUUUCAACCGAUUUCAACAAAGCACGCGUGAAUCAAAAACCGAAGGAAUCGCAUGCAAAGCAACGUCACGUCAGUCCAACUUGAAGCUUGACGGACGUAAAAAGAAGAAUCAUGUGGCCGUACAUGUAACAGCAAAAAGUUCGCUGUCGUGUUUUCCAGGAUCUGGCUUAAUUAAGCGUCAUUGAUAGAUUAAGUGCACGCAGACUAAAGAGGUAAUACACCUGCCGUUGCACCUUGCUCGGCACAAGUUGAAUUAGCUCUAGGGACUUUUGGUAACAGAUGUAAACACCAAGGACGACUCUAGGGGUGACUAUGCUAGUUGACUGCAAAUCAAGUGUCAACGCGAACUACAGCGACGAACGAAAGACCCAUCAGCUCACAUUUGUGUCCACUGCUGCCAUCACUGGGGCAAGCUUCUGCAAUCCAAGUCUCGUUUCCUGCUGACCGCAUUAUGUAGGAGCAGGGAGACUGACUGGACAGCCUGCUGGCUCAGUUCCGGGGACGUCGACCGACAACUUGAACUGUUGGACUGGGCGGAGAAGGCCAAGCAGGCCCAGGGCCUUACUUCAGCCCGAUCCCUCUCAGCCACGUCCCCCUUUACCCUUCCCCCUUUCAAUAAAGUUUAUCACCACCACCA